AGCGAACGCUGGCGGCAGGCCUAACACAUGCAAGUCGAACGAACUCUUCGGGGUUAGUGGCGGACGGGUGAGUAACACGUGGGAACGUGCCUUUAGGUUCGGAAUAACUCAGGGAAACUUGUUCUAAUACCGAAUGUGCCCUUCGGGGGAAAGAUUAAUCGCCUUUAGAGCGGCCCGCGUCUGAUUAGCUAGUUGGUUGAGGUAAUGGCUCACCAAGGCGACGAUCAGUAGCUGGUCUGAGAGGAUGAUCAGCCACAUUGGGACUGAGACACGGCCCACACUCCUACGGGAGGCAGCAGUGGGGAAUCUUGCGCAAUGGGCGAAAGCCUGACGCAGCCAUGCCGCGUGAAUGAUGAAGGUCUUAGGAUUGUAAAAUUCUUUCACCGGGGACGAUAAUGACGGUACCCGGAGAAGAAGCCCCGGCUAACUUCGUG
rnacentral:rRNA from 1 species